ACCAGACGAUGCGGGAUCGAAGAUGAUUAGAUACCAUCGUAGUCUUAACCAUAAACUAUGCCGACUGAGGAUUCUUGAAAUUUGUAAAUGAAUUUAAGAGCACUCCAUGAGAAAUCAAAGUCUUUGGGUUCCGGGGGGAGUAUGGUCGCAAGUCUGAAACUUAAAGGAAUUGACGGAAGGGCACCACCAGGAGUGGAGCCUGCGGCUUAAUUUGACUCAACACGGGAAAACUUACCAGGUCCAGACAUAGUGAGGAUUGACAGAUUGAUAGCUCGUUCUUGAUUCUUUGGGUGGUGGUGCAUGGCCGUUCUUAGGUGGUGGAGUGAUUUGUCUGGUUAAUUCCGAUAACGAACGAGACCCCAACCUGCUAACUAGACUGCGCUAUCUUCUCGAGAGCUCAGCGCUUCUUAGAGGGACAUUUCGGAUUUACCGGAAGGAAGUUCGAG
rnacentral:rRNA from 1 species